rnacentral:pre_miRNA from 1 species
UCUUAUGGAUGAGCAAAGAAAGUGAUUUCCUGAGAAGGAAUCUACGCUUGGUAAAGAUGCUGUGAA